UUGUACAAAAUAGUUUUUAAUAUUUGCCUAAUUUCCUCUUCAUUAGAGUUGUGGUCUCCCUUUUCAUUUUUGAAACUAUUAAUUUGGUUUUCUUCUUUCCUUUUUAAAAUUAGAAACACUUCCGGGUAAACACGGCUGCAAUCUAGACUCGACUCACUUCCCCUCCCCAGCACCAAACGAAAUAGACUACCUCAAAAGAGCAUAAAAAUCACCUUUGGAAGAACGGAGGACUCUCCAGUACCCCACAGAAACGAAGAUAAGAAGGGGACCUUUGAAAGGGCAAGUGUUCUGGAAGGUGUGGAACCUCAUCUUCCCAUACAUUGGGAGCCACAGACAGAUGGAAGCAGAUUCACCAUACUUAACAAGAACUUCUUGAAUAUACCACAAAUGCAAGAAAAGGGCUCCAGCUAGCUUCUGAAAAAGUACCAGGCUGAAGAGUGUGUGAAACUGAUCACCUCGCUGGGGGAGGGGCCCCCCAAGGAAUUGGAAUCUUGAGGAGGAGAAGAUUCUGGCUGGGAGAAGAAUUGGUCUCUCAGUCAGGAGAAGCCAAAGAGACAAGGUUGAAAAAGACUUUCUGCUGAGAGUUACUCACUUUUCCUGCUUGUGACUGGAAAUCCUUCCCCCUAAUAUUUCCAAAUUGAAAAAGACUACUGAAGAAGAAACCUGAAAAAAGACAUUUUAAAUCUCUGUCCAACUUUACUUCAGCUCCUGUUGCCCUAAGUCUGAACUGUGGCCAAGGGGCCAAAUGCAAGGUGAGUUGACCUGACUUUUUCUCAGGGGGCUCAGGCUGCCAAGGCUUGAGUUCCCCCCAAACACAAGGAGGGAGGGAAAAGGGUUUUAGAUAGAGACAGGGACCCCUUUUCCUCACUUUACUCUCCCAUUCUUUCCCUGCUAGUUAUUCCUUUGUAUUACCUUGAUUGAGUUGACAUUAAAAUAGUUAACUUUUCCCCAAGUUGUGUGUGAGUGAACAGAUCAAGGGGAGACCCUUUGGUCUCUGGUAGUGGAGGGGGAACAAGAGGGACAAGAGUGAAUCUGGGAGAGCAGCCUUAGCUAAGGAGGGAAGACAGAAGAGGGAAAAUCUUCAAAUCCCCUCUUUUCUCUCUGAGCCAAGCCUAAAUAAACAUCAGCUAUCUCUCCUGAACCCCACUUUGAGGGGGGGGUCUCUACUCUUCACCUUUCUAUACUGAAAUACCGAACCCCUCUAAUACAAAUUAACCUCCCCUUAUAAUUCACAUGUGAACCGGAACGACCUCCUGGAUUUGAUGCAGAGUGAAAGGAUCAGAACCAGGCAAACAUUGUCCACAGAGAUCAAUACAUUAUGGCAAAAUCAAAUGUAAUAAACGUUUCUACCAGUAGCAAUGGAAUGACCCAGGACAAUCCAGAGGAACUUAUGACAAUGAAUGCUAUUGUCAUCCAGAGAAAAAGCUGUGGAACCAGAAAUGCAAUAGAAAAAUAUAUGAUUGAUCAGGCAGUGCAAUAGGGAUAUGAUUAAGGUUUUGAUGUUAAAGAUCACUCUACUCCAAAUAGGAAUAACACAGAAAUAGGUUUUGAACAAUGAUACAUGUAUAACCCAUUGGAACUGCUUUUUGGCUUUGGGAAA